ACGGGGCGGGGAGCGGGCCGGAGAGCGGGGCCGCCCGCGAGCUUGGAAUCGGCGGCACCGCCGCUGCCGCCGCGGAGGGCGAGGGCGAAGGCGGAGUUCUGUCGCUUGAGAAAGCUGAUGUCACCUUUGUAGGCAGGAACGACUUUAUCGCGGUUUCCACGGCAACGAGCGUCGUUUUGGAGAGGCCCGGGGACGCCGCGCUUGGGCCUGCUCGCAGUGGCUCCCGGUGUCCCCAGGCCGGUCCCCGGGCUGGUGUCCCCGGGCGGGUGUGUCCUGGCGGGUGUCCCCGAGCUGGUGUCCCCGGGCGGGUGUCCCCGAGCUGGUGUCCCCGGGCGGGUGUCCCCGAGCUGGUGUCCCCGGGCGGGUGUCCCCGGCCCGGGCGGCGGGCAGCGAACCCUCUUUGUCCGCACUUCUAGCCACGCGAAAGGAAAACAGCGGGUCCAAAGGACAGCAAGCAGUUUUUCAGCCUUCCUUAAAACAAGCUACCUUGGACGAAGCCUAUUUCAGCAGACCAGACCUGAAGGAUGUGCCAGACAGAGCUGUGUGCAGAUGAGAGCAGCUUCAUGUGAGACAGCAAACAGACUACAGGUUAUGCAGUGACAACCACGAACCAGGUAACCAGGCAACCAGGCAAAAGGCCUUGCCUUCAAAUGUAUCAGCACAGAGAGCUGAACUGAUUACAACAAUGAAAGAUCUAGAACUGAGAAAAGUCAGCUGAAGGAAAGAAGACUGGCAACUAUUCAAGAAACUCUAGAAAUCCGUCAUGUUAUCUGGACACACCUGCCCAUCUGUUCCAGCCUGGAGACUGAUUCUAUGUUAAAUGGAGAGACAGUGACCUUGCAAGCUGAUUGGAAAGGGCCAUUUCAAGUCCUGACUACCCUCAUCAAAACCAGAGGUGCUGACAGAGAACUCUGAAUUCACUGCUUCAGAGUUAGGAAGACCUCUGUUCCGGAGACAACUGCAAGACAGAGAUUGAUUAAAAUAAGAUGAUGUGAUUAAAGGGUUUUUUGUGCCUCGUGGUAACCAUGAUUCAGAUUUGGCCCUAAAAAUGUGCAUGUAGCUCUGGUCCAAAAUUAUCAAAAACCUCUUCAUAAGAACAGCUUGCCCAGGUGGUAUUGGAUAUGAGAAUCUGGCCUGGUAAAUUGUGCCCCUAAAUAAAGAUCGGGCCUGUGUCCAUAGGGCUGUGAUUCCAAAUACAAUAUUUACAAAACAGAAUAGCUCCUAAUUUCCUACUAGCCACAAAAUCCUUAAUACUGAUUGUUGUUCUUAUGCAGAUCAGAGUGAAAUAAUUGUUAAGGAUUUAGUUAAAAUUUGCAAGCAAACUCAUUCUGCACCAGGUAGCUCUCAAAGGAGCUCACUGAACCUUGAGUAUUUUCAAUACCUUCACAUCAUGGUUAUCAAACUGAGCCUGGAUAUAAAAAAAUACUCAUAGUAGUUAUAAUUCUAGUUAGCAUCUGUGUAACAACCAGUGGAAAGACUGAUUGUAUAAACUGGAAGUAUGGUUAUAUGUGGAGUAGAGACUAAACAAGAUGGAGUCUUGUUAGUCUCUAAAGAAAGGGGAGAAUGAUACCAUUGAGGUUUUCCUGUUUUUCUUUUCUAUGUUCUCUGUAUUUGUCACACAUAUAAUUGUAGCUCUGUAGUCUGUUGUAUUAGUGACUAGUUUUCCCUGCCUUUCCCCUGGCAGAAAUACAAAAUAAAUUCCAGAACUCCGAGCCCCAGGGAGUAUCCUGUCUUGGUUCUUCCUGAUAGCCGAGGUACAGAACAACUCUUGGAGAUACAUUCUACAUUCUCCUGGACAAAGCACAACUGGUGCUGAAGGGGGGCUCCAGAGAAGGUGCUUGACCUUCUCUGAAGGGGGAGAGAAUUGGUCCUCCUAACUAAUGCUUUUUAUCAGUUAUGCUGAUUUCCUAAAACCUAUAAAAAUGUACCCCUGGGUGGGGGGGUGGUGGGCUUUUGUGGACAUCUUUCCAUAACUGCUCCUGAAGGCCUCCAAAUAAAGGCCUUUUAUAUUACCUUGUUCUGCUUUGAAAAUACAGAUGUGUGCUAGGGAAAGCAGGGCCUUCCCUUGAAAUUGAGAAAUAAAUCCCUCCCUCUGAAUUAGUAUAAUUUUGAAAUUAAGGGGCUCUCAAGCAAAGAUAUGGGGGUAGGAAUAACAGUUCUUUACUAAUAUAUCUAACAAGACAAACAAAACAACAACAACUAUGAAAUUAACAACAAACAGGACAGGAACCCAGUAACACUUCUUUCAGCUGUGGGCACCUUUCCCCUGUGGUGCAGUUACCCUCCCAGCUGGCAGGCAGCUCCCGGUGGGCAGGGGCAGAUGUGGUGAUCCCACACAGCUGCAGGGGCACUGGGGGUGACUGUGUCCCAGAUGGGAAGGGUGGAGGAGAGACUCAGCUCAUGGAUCCUCGGAGUGUCGGUCCCGGUGCUCCAACAGGAUGCUUGGAGAUGGCAGGCUGAAGCAGGAGAGCAUCCGAGCAGGGGUGUGGGGUCCAACAGCAGAAGAGACAGCUCCUGGCUUUGGAUGCUGGGGUGAGGUUUUCCAGCGAACUUCCUCCUCCCAGAGCCAAAAAUAAGCAAAUGCCAGCAAUUCCCUUGACCUGCUUCCAAUCUCGCAGUGUUCCCCCCCUUCCUCCACCCCUGCCCCGAGAGAAACUCCCAAAAAACCAGGGAAGCUCUUCCUUCCCCAUCUAAAGUCUCAAGGACCCAGCCAUCAGUGCUCCUUAGCAUGUCAAUGGAAAAAAAUUCCACAGGCAGAGAGGAAACGAAAAAAAAUAAAACAACCUCCCAACAUACCUGCUUACUAAAAUUAUCUCAAGUUUCAUUUCCGGGCUGGGCAAAAGGCAACACAACCAGACAUGAAGAAAGAGAUGUAUAUGUGUUAAGUGAUUCUCUUCAUUUAGGCUGGAGUCAGAGUUUUGUUAUUCCCUGUAUCAUAUAUAAGGUGGAUAAAACCACAAAACAAAAUAAUGAUUGGUAAGAUUUCGGCCAAAUAAUUUUUGGACUAGAAGGCAGCACAGUGAAAAUGUUUUUCUGAGAGAAUGCAGGUGUGUUAUACUCAGUAUAUACUCAGUAUUCUCAGAAUUCAGUGUUAUGUUGAGUAUUUCUCUUUGUCUGUAGCCAAGCUGAGGUUCCCUGAGGAAAGAAGGAAGGAAAGCUCAUCAGAGACUUAGUGUGAGUUAUCUGGAACAAUUACUCCUUUUAUGUCUCCUUCUUACAUUGUAGUGGCCUUCCCUCUCUAUGGAGAAAACCUUUCAUAGGUGUCCUGCUGGCUGGAGUUUUUUGGAAAGGAGCGCAUACUGUUUGGCUUAAUAUGUCUCAUAUCAUGUACUGACUCUGCUGCAGGAGAGCCUUCUGGAAAUCAGAAACAAUCAGAAAGCAAAACUUGUCACUGCUUUACUCAAGUGAGAAAGAAGCAAGUUUCUAGAGAGAACAUGCAGAUUUCUAUAAGACAAUCAGAAAAAAAUAUUUUUUACAUAAACCUAUCCAUAUACAGAUAGAAUCUGCCAGUUUUGUUCUGUACAGUUGAGCUCCCUGUUGCCUUGCAAAUUGUUUGUAGCUUAUCCAACAAACUACAAAGGAAAACACUGUAGAGAAAGGUUAGAGCCUGGAAAACCUUGUGAGAAUUUAAUUGUUCCACACUCUCUCCUCUCUUCUGGGUCGUUGUCCUCCUGUGUGACUGCAGGCACAAGGGGAAACUGCGUAACUCAUGUUUGGAUGAGGGAGUGGAGAAGCACCUGGGGGUUGGUCAUUGCAAGACUGCCAGGAGACCAAGCUAAGUGCACCAAAACUUUUCUCAAAACCAGCCAAAGGAGGGAAGAAACGAACUGCAGCCACAAAAAGAUAAUAUCCCUCCAGUGAUUUACUUUUUUAAAAUGUUUGCUGCUGGAGUGGAGCUUUAUAAAGUGGGUACCUGCUUGACAAUGUCGCCCUGCUCCUGCACUAUAUGCUUCAUUGCUUCGUUUAUGAAAAACUGACGUUUGCAAUGUAAUUAUUUUAAACUAUUUGGGUUCUUUUAUGUCUAAAUGUGAACGUUUUCAAAAGACCUUUUUUCAUUAAAAUAUAUAAAGCAAAUAAAUGCAAUGUAUUUUGGGCAUUAGAUCAGAAGACUUUAGUUAGGUCUUUUUUUCCAUGUCACCUCCUAAGGGAAGUACACAUUAAAUUGCAUAGUUUGCAUGGCAAAAUAAGUACAGCUUU